UUUCAUUGUGUAUAUUCAGCCUCUCGAGUCAAGUUUCAGACGAUCAUGUAUCCCCUUGAUAUUCACUGGAUGGAAUCCCCUAUUUUACUCAGACUGAACCUUCUACAAACAUCAGAAAAGCAACAGUAAUAAAGAUGGACAGAAAUUCCAAAAAUAAGGUUAGUUCUUGUUUGUUCCGUAUCAUUCUCUUUACCGUUCCUUUUGGUACUAUACUCCAAAAAAGAGGCAAUCGGAAAUAUUUAGGUCCACUGAAAAGUAAUUCUGGAGCUCGCAGAGUUCUCAUUUUUCAGAUUUGUAGUAGUAUUCGCUUUUGGUUUACAUGAUAUUGGCUGUAUCUCCCUGACAACUGCUCUUUGGUUGGUGUAGGUGUUUUUUUAUGGAUGUACCUGGUUGCGAUGAAGCUAAACAAGAAAUAAUGCUAUCACUUAUUACCUUUGUCCUUCAAAUUUGAGUAUAGGCCUGCGAAAUAAUGAAUAUUUGUGUCUCAUUGCUCCAGCAUGGUCAAUAAAGAUAUGUUGACCCAGGAAAUGUGGGUUUAUCAUAGGUCCUACUGUAUACGUUGAUAUAUGAAAUAUGACAUUUACGGUUAUAUGCUAUCACUUAUUGCCUUUGUCCUUUGCAUUGAGUAUAGGCCUGUGAAAUAAUGGUGUAUUUGUGUGUUGAUUCGUCUGUUUUCCUUCAUGUUCUGGUUCUAAGGUACCAGCACAGACCCAGAGUUAUUUGCAAAAAAAUGCGUUCCAAUGUACCAAUAUUUUGUAUCCUUUCUAAUGCUUAAAAAAGAGGCGAAUAAUUAUUUUAUAAUAUGUAAUAUAUGACAUGUGUAACGCACCUUAAGAGACUACUAAGUUAUCCUGUAUAAUUGGCACGCCCUACUUUUGUAGUAAUAAAUAUAUCAGGUGCUGCUCCAUACAGGUGAUACAUUGCAUUUACCAUAGUAUUUGAUUACAUAUGAUAACAUAAAAUCUGUUUUUUCCUUAGCGGUUCGGCACAUUAGUGCAUAGAAACAGAGUACAGGCAAAUUGAUUAGAUGCAUUAGUUAAGAACACUGAUUUUUUUGGAAAGCUUCAUCAUGACAUCGAUAUUGGUUUCGCCUUACUACCACUCCGAGGUUGGAUGGAGCAUCGAGGAUUUCAGGCUUGGGGUGGCCACGUGUUGCAGGAUAGCAGGAAGAGUUGGAUGUGUUCUGCAGAGACGAGGUGAUCAAUGUCGUUGCCGCCAGGUAGCUGAAGUACAAAACUUCUAAAUUUGCUCAUUUAUUUAUCCUCAUAGUUGGUUCCCUUGAUACUUUUUCUUAGAAACAUGAUCAAAGAUACAAAAAGUUUUACUUCUGAAGCAGAAGUGGUAGUAUAGUGUGCAUGUCGUAUUGCAAGUAGAUUUUAUAGAUACCAAUAGAAAUAAUAACUUGGGAUUUAUUUCUGUUCAACCUCUGUGAUCUAGAUGAGCAAAGCAACAACUUUGGCUUUAUUUCUUUGUGAUGUAGAUGAGAAAAAUAGUACCUUGGAUUUUAAUUCUGUUCUCUAUGAUGUAGAUUAGCAAGAUUUCUAACCAACAAAGUAAUUUAUUUUAGUAUGGUUUUGUCACUAUGAUUGGUAAUAUGAAGUUUAUUUAUUCUAGGUUCCUAUCUUUAGACAGUCACAUCCACGUUCGUACUUUUAGAAUAGUUGUUGCAACGGGGAAGAGCAUUUUUGCAAUAGCAAGAUAUCAGGACCCAAUGGGCAUAGGCCGAACCAACCACCAUCACUAUUAUUUCAGGAUUAGAUAGCCAACUUCCACUCAUGAGGUGAGUUUGCUUACUCUACUUUCAGUGUACUGUGCAGAUAUGUUGGUUAGAAAUUUUGCUAUGUGCCUGUCAAGUUGAUUAGAUAUGAAAAAUAUGCUCUAUAAUACCCACAUAAUACUUGUUUAAAUUGGCUUUUCCCUGGUUCAUCAGUGCACACAUGAAACCGGUAAUAAGAAGAGAAUCACCUGAUUUUUUUAUAGUCUAUUUUAGUAAGCAUGUUCAUAAUAUUAGGAUAGUUUAAUUUGAGAACAAUUGGCUCGAGGAACGAUGUAAUUUGAUACUCUGUUAUGUUGAUCUCCAGAGAAAUUUGGUUUUUGGUUUUUCAUUGAUGUACGUUAAUCUGUUGUGAAUCUUGUUUGCUUGCACCAAUUAUAUGUGUAACAAUUAGAGGGGAAAUUUUGGAACUCAUACAUUCUAUUUCAGUUAAUGUUCAAAGCAACUUUCCUGUGUGAAUCUGAUAAUCUUACUAAAACCUGUGUUUCAUUGUGUAUAUUCAGCCUGUCGAGUCAAGUUUCAGACGAUCAUGUAUCCCCUUGAUAUUCACUGGAUGGAAUCCCCGGUUUUACUCAGACUGAACCUUCUACAAACAUCGGAAAAGCAACAGUAAUAAAGAUGGACAGAAAUUCCAAAAAUAAGGUUAGUUCUUCUUUGUUCCGUAUCAUUCUCUUUACCGUUCC
rnacentral:lncRNA from 1 species